AAAAAGAUCCUUGUAUACAUAGAUUGUUGCUAUGGCCAAUACUGUACUUUGAAUUCCAGCUUGCAGAGGGAGGUUGGAUGUGGAGCAUUCAGACACCAUCUGUGAUGUCACUCAUUGGUUGUCUGAAAAUGAAAAUGAAGGAUGAACGACAAAUAAAUGAAAGACCUUUUUCCAACUAGACUGGAAGUUCCUUGAAGGGCUGCUCAUCCACCUUUGGUGUCUAUUCAUCAUCUGACUUUCACCUGUGGCUCAAGGAAGCUGUAGCAUAUGCAGUGGCCACAGCCUGGAAAAAUCAUCUUGCCAGAUCAGCUAACCCAGGAUGAGGAUAUCUGACUAGCCUCCAACUUAUCUGUGAGUUAGGAGGAUGUCUACUUCAAGCAUGUGAAGAC
rnacentral:lncRNA from 1 species